rnacentral:rRNA from 1 species
AGCCAGACUCCUACGGGAGGCAGCAGUGGGGAAUAUUGGGCAAUGGGCGCAAGCCUGACCCAGCAAUGCCGCGUGAAGGAAGAAGGCCUUCGGGUUGUAAACUUCUUUUAUCAGGGACGAAGGAUGUGACGGUACCUGAUGAAUAAGCUCCGGCUAACUCCGUGCCAGCAGCCGCGGUAAUACGGAGGAUGCGAGCGUUAUCCGGAUUUAUUGGGUUUAAAGGGUGCGCAGGCGGCCUGUUAAGUCAGCGGAAAAGGCGGGGGGCCCCGCCCGGGCGAGCCGUUGAAACUGGCGGGCUGGAGUUGGAGAGAAGUACGCGGAAUGCGCGGUGUAGCGGUGAAAUGCUUAGAUAUCGCGCAGAACCCCGAUUGCGAAGGCAGCGUACCGGCGCCCUACUGACGCUCAGGCACGAAAGCGUGGGUAUCGAACAGGAUUAGAUACCCUCGUA